rnacentral:rRNA from 15 species
AAACGACUCUCGGCAACGGAUAUCUCGGCUCACGCAUCGAUGAAGAACGUAGCAAAAUGCGAUACUUGGUGUGAAUUGCAGAAUCCCGUGAACCAUCGAGUUUUUGAACGCAAGUUGCGCCCGAAGCCUUUUGGCCGAGGGCACGUCUGCCUGGGCGUCACGC